UACGUAGGGUGCGAGCGUUAUUCGGAAUUACUGGGCGUAAAGGGCGCGCAGGCGGCUGCUCAAGUCAGGCGUGAAAGGCCUGGGCUCAACCCGGGAAUUGCGCUUGAGACUGGGCUGGCUUGAGUGCGGGAGAGGAUGGUGGAAUUCCCAGUGUAGAGGUGAAAUUCGUAGAUAUUGGGAAGAACACCGGUGGCGAAGGCGGCCAUCUGGACCGCAACUGACGCUGAGGCGCGAAAGCGUGGGGAGCAAACAGG
rnacentral:rRNA from 1 species